CGCACGGCGCACGGGUGCGUAACACGUGGGCAAUCUGCCCUCCGAUGGGGAAUAACCCCGCGAAAGCGGGGCUAAUUCCGCAUAACAUUCCUUGGACUCACGUUCGAGGAUUCAAAGCAGCAAUGCGUCGGAGGAGGAGCCCGCGCCCGAUUAGCUAGUUGGUGAGGUAACGGCUCACCAAGGCAAUGAUCGGUAGCUGGUCUGAGAGGAUGGCCAGCCACACUGGAACUGAGACACGGUCCAGACUCCUACGGGAGGCAGCAGUGGGGAAUCUUGCACAAUGGGCGAAAGCCUGAUGCAGCGACGCCGCGUGGGGGAUGAAGCUUUUCGGAGUGUAAACCCCUUUCGCCUGGGACGAAUGCCCGCAAGGGAGUGACGGUACCAGGAUAAGAAGCCCCGGCUAACUACGUGCCAGCAGCCGCGGUAAGACGUAGGGGGCCAGCGUUGUUCGGAAUUACUGGGUGUAAAGGGUUCGUAGGCGGUGCGGCAAGUUGGGAGUGAAAUCUCUGGGCUCGACCCAGAGGCUGCUUCCAA
rnacentral:rRNA from 1 species